rnacentral:ncRNA from 2 species
UACUUAUCAAGAAAGGCUGAGGGAUAUGGCCCUUUGAAGCCUUGACAACCUGUUCUUUUUUUUAUACAACCUGUUUGGAUAAAAAUGAGAAUAAGGUGCCAACUCCAUCACGCAGGAAGAUUGCGUGACAGAUAAGUC